rnacentral:lncRNA from 1 species
GCGGUUAUGGGACGGUUUUGGGAAGAAGGGAUGUGAUUUUGGGUAACUGUUCGCCCAGGCGGUUGGGGACAGUUUAAGUCGUCCUCUCUCUCUCAUUUUUGCCAUUCUGGUUGAUUUUUACUCACUUUCACACAGAGAGAAACACAGAGAAAAUUCAAGAGAGAAAGAGAGACACAAACCUUGGAUUGGCCGAUUUGAUCCAAGAGAUUGUUCUUGAGUGUUCCUGGUGUGUUUGGACGUGUGAUCAAGAGGAUGGAUUUGAGGCAGAAAGACAAGGAGAAGGCAAAGGAGAAAGAGAAGGAAGUCGCCCCUGGAGGCCGAACUCCUAAGG